rnacentral:rRNA from 1 species
GAUGAACGCUGGCGGCGUGCCUAAUACAUGCAAGUCGAGCGAACAGACGAGGAGCUUGCUCCUCUGACGUUAGCGGCGGACGGGUGAGUAACACGUGGAUAACCUACCUAUAAGACUGGGAUAACUUCGGGAAACCGGAGCUAAUACCGGAUAAUAUAUUGAACCGCAUGGUUCAAUAGUGAAAGACGGUUUUGCUUUCACUUAUAGAUGGAUCCGCGCCGCAUUAGCUAGUUGGUAAGGUAACGGCUUACCAAGGCAACGAUGCGUAGCCGACCUGAGAGGGUGAUCGGCCACACUGGAACUGAGACACAGUCCAGACUCCUACGGGAGGCAGCAGUAGGGAAUCUUCCGCAAUGGGCGAAAGCCUGACGGAGCAACGCCGCGUGAGUGAUGAAGGUAUUCGGAUCGUAAAACUCUGUUAUUAGGGAAGAACAAAUGUGUAAGUAACUAGGCACGUCUUGACGGUACCUAAUCAGAAAGCCACGGCUAACUACGUG